UACGGAGGGUGCAAGCGUUAUCCGGAUUCACUGGGUUUAAAGGGUGCGUAGGUGGAUUAGUAAGUCAGUGGUGAAAUCUCCGGGCUUAACCCGGAAACUGCCAUUGAUACUAUUAGUCUUGAAUACCGUGGAGGUCAGCGGAAUAUGUCAUGUAGCGGUGAAAUGCUUAGAUAUGACAUAGAACACCAAUUGCGAAGGCAGCUGGCUACACGAGCAUUGACACUCAGGCACGAAAGCGUGGGGAGCAAACAGG
rnacentral:rRNA from 1 species